rnacentral:rRNA from 1 species
GAUGAACGCUGGCGGCGUGCUUAACACAUGCAAGUCGAACGAAGUACUUUAUUUGAUUUCCUUCGGGACUGAUUAUUUUGUGACUGAGUGGCGGACGGGUGAGUAACGCGUGGGUAACCUGCCUUGUACAGGGGGAUAACAGUUGGAAACGGCUGCUAAUACCGCAUAAGCGCACAGCAUCGCAUGAUGCAGUGUGAAAAACUCCGGUGGUAUAAGAUGGACCCGCGUUGGAUUAGCUAGUUGGUGAGGUAACGGCCCACCAAGGCGACGAUCCAUAGCCGACCUGAGAGGGUGACCGGCCACAUUUGGGACUGAGACACGGCCCAAACUCCUACGGGAGGCAGCAGUGGGGAAUAUUGCACAAUGGGCGAAAGCCUGAUGCAGCGACGCCGCGUGAGCGAAGAAGUAUUUCGGUAUGUAAAGCUCUAUCAGCAGGGAAGAUAAUGACGGUACCUGACUAAGAAGCACCGGCUAAAUACGUGCCAGCAGCCGCGGUAAUACGUAUGGUGCAAGCGUUAUCCGGAUUUACUGGGUGUAAAGGGAGCGCAGGCGGUGCGGCAAGUCUGAUGUGAAAGCCCGGGGCUCAACCCCGGUACUGCAUUGGAAACUGUCGUACUAGAGUGUCGGAGGGGUAAGCGGAAUUCCUAGUGUAGCGGUGAAAUGCGUAGAUAUUAGGAGGAACACCAGUGGCGAAGGCGGCUUACUGGACGAUAACUGACGCUGAGGCUCGAAAGCGUGGGGAGCAAACAGGAUUAGAUACCCUGGUAGUCCACGCCGUAA